rnacentral:lncRNA from 1 species
AGUGUAGUCAGGAUGAACCAGGCAAAGCUGGCGGCACGCAGCCUGCAGUCCCAAGGCGCUCGCACAUUGCAGAGACUCAACAGGCAGGCUGCCACACCUGCCCACUGGCACCUCCUGGCCGACCCAGGUCUCCGGGCGAGUGGGGGUGCCUCACUGCAAGCCUGGAUGAGGCGCGGUGCAGCAGGCCAGAGGAAAUUCUAGAACCGAUGGUGCCAAAAAGGCAUCUCCGAGUUGCCCCCGGAGAGAGACUCAACAGAACACGGGCAGCUUGCAAGGCAGUCCAUUUUCUUGACUUUCUAACGAUACAAGGCAUCCCAUCGUUAGUGUGGAAGAAGGAGUUGCCUGACCCAUGCUCAGUCCCUUACCAGUCCAUCCCAUGAGCAAUGGGAAGACCUGUCAAGCCAUCACACUGGCCACUGGACGCAACCUGAGGCUGUGGAAAGAAACAAUCCUUACUUCGUUUUGUGCUGCUAUAACAGAAUACCAUGGAUUGGGUAAUUUACAAUAAACAGGAUUUAUUUGGCACAUGCUUCUGGAGGCUGGGAAGUCCAAGAUUAUGGCAGCAGAAUGUACGAAGGCCUUCCUGCUGCAUCAUCUCAUGGUGGAAAGGUGGAAGGGCAAGAGAGCAAACAAGCGUGAGGGCAAAAGGGGCUGAUCUUAUCAAACCCACUCUCCUGAUAAUGAAUGCCCUCCUAAGAUAAUAACAUGAAUGCAUUUAUGGGGGCAGAGUCCUCAUGACCUAAUAACUCCCUCAAGAUCCCACCUGUCUGGAUGGAUUGUUUGAGCUCAGGAAUUCGAAACCAACCUUGGGAACAUGGCAAAACCUAGUCUCUACAAAAAAUUUUAAAAUUAGCUGGGCAUGGUGGUACAUGCCUGUAGUCCCAGCUACUCAGGAGGCUAGGGUGGGAGGAUCACCUGAGCCUGGGAGGUCGAGGCUGCAGUGAGCCAAGAUCACACCACUGCACUCCCGCCUGGGCAACAGAAUAAGACUCUGUCUCGAAAAAAAAAAAAAAAGAAAAAAAUUCCACCUGUCAACACUGUUGCAUUGGGGAUUAAAUCUCCAAGACAUGAACUUUGGGGAACACAUUCAAACCAUAGCAAACCGUAACCAUUUUAUGACAGGAUUGAUCUUAUAACUUUGUUUUCUUUACUACUGUGCUUUAAUUAUUUGAGUUUCCUAAGGUUGCCUAAUUAACCUUGAUAACUAUGUUACUCAAAUAAACAUGAAAAAAUGCAGAACAAAUUAUAAUAAAAGUUAAAUAUCAAAUAGGAAUUCAUACAAGGUAAGUCAGCAAAAGAAGAAGAAUAUGGUUUUUUUUCUUUUCUUUUCUUGAGAGACAGAGUCUUGUUAUGUUAUCCAGGCUGGUUCCAAACUCUUGAGCUCAAGGAAUCCUCCCAUCUCUACCUCCCAAGCAGCUAGGACUACAGGUGUGAGGCACUGCACAUGGCUGAGAAUAAGCUUCUUACAUGAAAAUGGUGGCCAAGGUGCAGUGGCUCCCACCUGUAAUCCCAGCACUUCGAGAAGCCAAGGCGGUAGAUCACUUGAGGUCAGGAGUUCAAGACCAGCCUGGCCAACAUGGUGAAACCCUGUCUCUACUAAAAAUACAAAAA